AGAGUUUGAUCCUGGCUCAGGACGAACUCUGGCGGCGUGCUUAACACAUGCAAGUCGAGCGGAGACAUUAUUGCGGAAGUUUUCGGAUGGAAGCGAUAAUGUUUUAGCGGCGGACGGGUGAGUAACGCGUGAGCAACCUUUCCUUCACUGGGGAAUAACACAGGGAAACUUGUACUAAUACCGCAUGAGACCACGGUAAGGCAUCUUACAGGGGUCAAACAUUUAUCGGUGAAGGGUGGGCUCGCGUCCGAUUAGGUAGUUGGUGAGGUAACGGCCCACCAAGCCGACGAUCGGUAGCCGACCUGAGAGGGUGAUCGGCCACAUUGGGACUGAGACACGGCCCAAACUCCUACGGGAGGCAGCAGUGGGGAAUAUUGGGCAAUGGGCGGAAGCCUGACCCAGCAACGCCGCGUGGAGGAAAGAAGGUUUUCGGAUCGUAAACUCCUGUCCUCAGGGAAGAGCAGAAGACGGUACCUGAGGAGGAAGCCCCGGCUAACUACGUGCCAGCAGCCGCGGUAAUACGUAGGGGGCAAGCGUUGUCCGGAAUGAUUGGGCGUAAAGGGCGCGUAGGCGGCCCGGUAAGUCUGGAGUGAAAGUCCUGCUUUUAAGGUGGGAAUUGCUUUGGAUACUGUCGGGCUUGAGUGCAGGAGAGGUAAGUGGAAUUCCCAGUGUAGCGGUGAAAUGCGUAGAGAUUGGGAGGAACACCAGUGGCGAAGGCGACUUACUGGACUGUAACUGACGUUGAGGCGCGAAAGCGUGGGUAGCAAACAGGAUUAGAUACCCUGGUAGUCCACGCUGUAAACGAUG
rnacentral:rRNA from 1 species